GAUGAACGCUAGCGGCAGGCCUAAUACAUGCAAGUCGAACGGUGUCUUCGAACAUAGUGGCGCACGGGUGCGUAACACGUAUGCAACCUACCUUACAUUGGGGGAUAGCCUUUCGAAAGGGAGAUUAAUACCGCAUAAGACAGUAGCUGGGCAUCCAGCAGCUGUUAAAGAUUUAUCGAUGUAAGCUGGGCAUGCGUCCAAUUAGCUAGUUGGUGAGGUAACGGCUAACAAAGGAAAUGAUUGGUAGGGGAACUGAGAGGUCAACCCCCCACACUGGCACGGAGAUCCGGGCAAGACUCCUAGGGGAGGCAGCAGUAGGGAAUAUUGGGAAAGGGACGAAAGUCUGACCCAGCCAUGCCGUGUGAAGGAUGAAGGCGUUAUGCGUUGUAAACUGUUUUUAUACAGGAAGAACCGACUCUUGCGAGAGGCAUUGACGGUACUGUAUGAAUAAGCACCGGCUAACUCCGUGCCAGCCGCCGCCGUAAUAC
rnacentral:rRNA from 1 species